UACGAAGGGUGCAAACGUUGCUCGGAAUUAUUGGGCGUAAAGCGCACGUAGGCGGCAUCGCAAGUCCCAUGUGAAAGCCCACGGCUUAACCGUGGAAGUGCAUGGGAAACUGCAGUGCUUGAGUACUUAAGAGGAUCGCGGAAUUCCCGGUGUAGAGGUGAAAUUCGUAGAUAUCAGGAGGAACACCAGCGGCGAAGGCGGCGCUCUGGGCCGGAACUGACGCUGAGGAGCGAAAGCGUGGGGAGCAAACAGG
rnacentral:rRNA from 1 species